rnacentral:rRNA from 1 species
UUUAUGGAGAGUUUGAUCCUGGCUCAGGAUGAACGCUGGCGGCGUGCCUAAUACAUGCAAGUCGAGCGAACGGACGAGAAGCUUGCUUCUCUGAUGUUAGCGGCGGACGGGUGAGUAACACGUGGAUAACCUACCUAUAAGACUGGGAUAACUUCGGGAAACCGGAGCUAAUGCCGGAUAAUAUUUUGAACCGCAUGGUUCAAAAGUGAAAGACGGUCUUGCUGUCACUUAUAGAUGGAUCCGCGCUGCAUUAGCUAGUUGGUAAGGUAACGGCUUACCAAGGCAACGAUGCAUAGCCGACCUGAGAGGGUGAUCGGCCACACUGGAACUGAGACACGGUCCAGACUCCUACGGGAGGCAGCAGUAGGGAAUCUUCCGCAAUGGGCGAAAGCCUGACGGAGCAACGCCGCGUGAGUGAUGAAGGUCUUCGGAUCGUAAAACUCUGUUAUUAGGGAAGAACAUAUGUGUAAGUAACUGUGCACAUCUUGACGGUACCUAAUCAGAAAGCCACGGCUAACUACGUGCCAGCAGCCGCGGUAAUACGUAGGUGGCAAGCGUUAUCCGGAAUUAUUGGGCGUAAAGCGCGCGUAGGCGGUUUUUUAAGUCUGAUGUGAAAGCCCACGGCUCAACCGUGGAGGGUCAUUGGAAACCGGAAAACUUGAGUGCAGAAGAGGAAAGUGGAAUUCCAUGUGUAGCGGUGAAAUGCGCAGAGAUAUGGAGGAACACCAGUGGCGAAGGCGACUUUCUGGUCUGUAACUGACGCUGAUGUGCGAAAGCGUGGGGAUCAAACAGGAUUAGAUACCCUGGUAGUCCACGCCGUAAACGAUGAGUGCUAAGUGUUAGGGGGUUUCCGCCCCUUAGUGCUGCAGCUAACGCAUUAAGCACUCCGCCUGGGGAGUACGACCGCAAGGUUGAAACUCAAAGGAAUUGACGGGGACCCGCACAAGCGGUGGAGCAUGUGGUUUAAUUCGAAGCAACGCGAAGAACCUUACAAAUCUUGACAUCCUUUGACAACUCUAGAGAUAGAGCCUUCUUCGGGGACAAAGUGACAGGUGGUGCAUGGUUGUCGUCAGCUCGUGUCGUGAGAUGUUGGGUUAAGUCCCGCAACGAGCGCAACCCUUAAGCUUAGUUGCCAUCAUUAAGUUGGGCACUCUAAGUUGACUGCCGGUGACAAACCGGAGGAAGGUGGGGAUGACGUCAAAUCAUCAUGCCCCUUAUGAUUUGGGCUACACACGUGCUACAAUGGACAAUACAAAGGGCAGCGAAACCGCGAGGUCAAGCAAAUCCCAUAAAGUUGUUCUCAGUUCGGAUUGUAGUCUGCAACUCGACUACAUGAAGCUGGAAUCGCUAGUAAUCGUAGAUCAGCAUGCUACGGUGAAUACGUUCCCGGGUCUUGUACACACCGCCCGUCACACCACGAGAGUUUGUAACACCCGAAGCCGGUGGAGUAACCUUUUAGGAGCUAGCCGUCGAAGGUGGGACAAAUGAUUGGGGUGAAGUCGUAACAAGGUAGCCGUAUCGGAAGGUGCGGCUGGAUCACCUCCUUUCU